GCCGAGGUGGUGGAAAUGGUAGACACGCACGUUUGAGGGGCGUGUGGGUUCGCCCGUACGAGUUCAAUCUCGUCCUCGGCACCA
rnacentral:tRNA from 1 species